GAGGGAUGGUGGAUGGAUAGGGUGAUAGGGAAGGUGGGGAAGGUGGGGAUGAAGAUGAUGGAGGUUGGGUGACAGGGGAAUUGGAAUUUGGAGUUGGGGCAUAGGGGUAGGGUGAUUGAGAUGUUGGGGAAGGAGUGUUUGGAGGUGACGGAAUGUAGGGAGGUUGGGAAAUGGGAGAAGGAGUGGUGGAUGGUGGUGUGGAAAUGUAAGAAGGUGGCUGGGAUAUUGGGGAAGGAGUGGUGGAUGGUGGUGUGGAAAUGUAAGGUGGCUGGGAUAUUGGGGAAGGAGUGGUGUUUGGAGGUGAUGGGAUGUAAGGAGGCUGAGAUAUUGGGGAAGGAGUGUUUGGAGGUGAUGGGGUGUAAGGAGGCUGGGAAGUAGGAGAAGGAGUAUUGGGUUGUGGAGGCACAUAAGGUGACUGAGAAAAGGGUGAUGGGGUUAUUGGAACAAAGGGUGGUUGAUGAUGAGGGGAAGGGGUGUUUGGAGGUAGAGGAGCAUGGGGUGGAUGGUUAUUAGGGGAAGGAGCAUAAGUGGGAGAAGGUGUGUUGGGAGGUAUGGGAGCAUAGGGUGGUUGAGCUUUGGGAGGAAAGGGAAGAUUAGUAGGAGGUGAAGGUGCUUCUGGAGGAGUAUAAACAGGGGGAGGAGUUUGAUGAGGUGGAUAAGGAGCUUUUGGAGGAGAAUAUGGAGGAGGCUCUCUCACAGCCAACACCACAAUAAUAAGUUUCUGACCCUUCUCACAAUUAUAAUCUUUUCCACUGAUGAAAUAAAAGGGACCCGAACGAUCAAACUGAAACUGGGAGGCACCAUCCUCAAACUUCUUGAUCGGGUUCUUCUUGUUACAUUUCUCAUAAUCCUCUUUGUUCACCACCAAAACCGAGUCCGAUCC
rnacentral:lncRNA from 1 species